GACGAACGCUGGCGGCGUGCUUAACACAUGCAAGUCGAACGGUGAAGCGCCUUCCUUUUUGGUUGGUGUGGAUGAGUGGCGAACGGGUGAGUAACACGUGAGUAACCUUCCCCCUUCUUCUGGAUAACCGCAUGAAAGUGUGGCUAAUACGGGAUAUUCUGCGUCUGUCGCAUGAUUGGUCUGGGAAAGCUAUUGUUUCUGUGGUGGAUGGGCUCGCGGCCUAUCAGCUUGUUGGUGGGUUGAUGGCCUACCAAGGCGGUGACGGGUCGCCGGCCUGAGAGGGUGGCCGGGCAAGCGGGGAAUGGGCCACGGCGCAGCCUACUACGGGCGGAAGCAGCGGGGAGUAUUGGACAAUGGGAGCAAGCCAGAAGGAGCGGAGGCGAGAGAGAGAUGCAGGGCUUGGGGUAGUGAAGCUCUUUCGUUAGUGACGCAGGCCGGCCUUGUUGGUGGGUGGGUGGAGGGUAGCGGGAUAAGAAGCGCCGGUGAACUACGU
rnacentral:rRNA from 1 species